UGGAUAACUGUGGUAAUUCUAGAGCUAAUACAUGCAUCAAGCCUUGACCCUUACGGGCAAGGCGCAGUUAUUAGAUCAAAAACCAAUCGGUUGUGUUUUCGGAUACAGCCGUUAGCUUGGUGACUCUGAGUAACCACAGCGAACCGUAUGGCCUUGUGCCGGACGGUCUGUCAGUCAAGCAACUGCCUUAUCAGCUUGUUGUUAGGUUAUAUGCCUAACAAGGCUUCAACGGGUAACGAACGAUCGGGGUCGGAUAUCGGAGAGGGAGCUUGAGAAACGGCUACCACUUCCAAGGAAGGCAGCAGGCGCGCAAAUUACCCACUCUCGGCAUGAGGAGGUAGCGAUGAAAUGUAUCGAUGCGGGGCCAUUAGUGCCUUCGUAAUCGGAAUGAGUACACUUUAAAUCCUAUAACAAGGACCUAUUGGAGGGCAAGUCUGGUGCCAGCAGCCGCGGUAAUUCCAGCUCCAAUAGCGUAUAUUAAUGCUGCUGCGGUUAAAAAGCUCGUAGUCGGAUCUGGGUUACCGGCGGGUACCGCAUGUUGCUUCGUGCAGCAUGUUGUGUACUAUACGUGUCGCUUCGGCGGCACUGCCAGCGUAGCGCUGUCUCUUGUAGGCACGUUGCGUUGGUCGCCGGAACCACGGGCCGGGUUGAGCAGCAUGCUCUUAAUUGAGUGUGUUGUUUACUCGGUGCGUUUACUUUGAAAAAAUUGGAGUGCUCAAAGCAAGCGUACAAAUGCCAAGGCGGCUUGAACAGUGGUGCAUGGAAUAAUGGAAUAGGGCCUCGGUUCUAUUUUGUUGGUUUUAAGAUAUCGAGGUAAUGAUUAAGAGGGACAGACGGGGACGUUUGUAUUGCGACGUUAGAGGUGAAAUUCUUGGAUCGUCGCAAGACACACUAAUGCGAA
rnacentral:rRNA from 1 species